rnacentral:lncRNA from 1 species
CAAAUAUUUGUUCCUUUCGUUGCUCAGGGUGAUUAAAGCCAACAAUUUAUUCUCUUCAUACCGCAGACCAAACCCGUUUACUCCAAAAAAGGAAGAAUGUUUGCUUCCUCAUUGCUCAGUUCAAGGGGCUGUCAUAUGCAUUAAGAAAACAAGUGAGCCAGAAAGAGAGGGAGAGAGCAGCGCGUGCUGUGGAUGUUUUCUUUACUCUGAAUCACUUAACGUUUUCCUGUUUCAAUGAUGGGACUUGUUAGUAGAGGACGAUCACUCUGGAAAUAUGUUCUGAUUUUUCUUUCUCUACAAAUCUGGGGAAGUCUUUCAGCAUCUACUUCCACAUCCUCUCCUCCACCCCCAAAGCUGGACAUCUACUUGAAUUUAGAGGAUGAUGUAAUUUUAGUCUGCAGAGCCCCCGAGGGUCACUAUGGACUUGUGUUCACACUGUAUCAGGAAAGAGAAGAGGUAAUAAUUAAUAGAUGUAUAUGUUUUCUGAAUGGCUUUGGAGUACAGUUUUGCUUUAAUAUGCUUUUUUUUUUCCAUGUGUUUGUUUUUCAUUGAGGUUGAUUCACAGUCCCUCCACUCAGAAGAAGCAGAGGUGCAGUUCACUGUCAGAAAAAGGGAAUCCAAAUCAGACCGACGUGAUCUUUUCUGCUGCCUGUACAAGAACCGGGAUGGUGUUUACAGUGGCUUCAGUACAUAUUUGGAAUUGACCCAUCAAACUGAUCCUGCCCCGACGCUGACAUCUUACCCUCCUCCAUUACUGUCUGUGGAACCGUCUACUGGCCUUGUUAAGCGUGGAGCCACGCUGUCCUUCAGCUGCACUGUCCCUGCUCACGCACUGCAGUCACAGUCUGACUCCAAUCAGCCAGUGACAUUCCUUCUGCUGAGGUCUGUGGAGCUUACUGUCGGAGCAUCUACUGUCCCACCUCCUGCUAGUCUGGUUUCAAACUCGCAGCCGGGAAUCUUCACUGUAAGUCCUGUGAGAGGAGAAGAGGAGGGCGAGUACUCCUGCGUCUACCAGAUCUCCAAAAGAAAAAGAUUAGUCAACUCAACAGUCAGUAAUGUGGUCAAAGUCACUGUUACAGAUGGCCUUCCUCUGCCCACCCUUGUUCUCCAGCAGCAGACAGAUGUGCUGUAUUUGCUCUGCAAAGGAUCUGCAGCAUAUCCCGGUGCUCUGUUCUCUCUCUUCCUGAUGCAUGACGAUGUACCCAUUGUUACACAGCGUAGCAAAGUGAUUGAGCAUCAAGCUACCUUUGCCAUUCCUGUUCAGGAUACACCACAGGCCCUGUACCAGUGCCAGUACAGUGUCCAACUAGGCGGGAAAUGGAGCUACUCGGAACGAAGCCAUUAUUUGGCUAUUAACAGAGGUUCAGAAAUCCCCACAACAACAUCACAAGAUGUGUCUGGUGUUGACUGGCCUCUGGUGCUCGGCUCUUUCUCUGCUGCAGUGUUGUUCAUCUCCUCAUUGGCUCUUAUAGUAGUCAUAGCUCACAGAAAAGGUAGCUCUCACUUUCUCUGGUUUACACUUUUGCAGUCAGACUUUGACACCGCGGAACUGACUUUUUACUCCUUUCUCUCUGUGUGUGUGUGUGUGUGUGUGUGUCAUUUUCUUUCUUCAAGUCAAAGCAGCAUCGCAAGAAAAGAAAAACAGGGAGCAGGCUCAAUUCUGGACCCACGUUCACUCUAAAGACCACGUUGUUGAUCUUACACUCAGUCGUACAAGUGUCACCUCUCAGGAAUGGAGCAGAGAGAACCACGAGUCAGCGUCCAGAUCCCCUCUGUGGAGCUCCCUGUCCACAUUCACCAGUCCCAUUCACUAGAGAUGUCUGCCCCCUCUGUGUAGAUACUUUAUGGGACUUUAUCAGUGUAGCAUCAGUUGGAGACACACAGCAGGACAGGAAGGAGUAUUUCCUCCGCUCAGUUCCUAUUCUCGCUUAGCAGUAAUGCAACCGGGCAGGAUGGGAUGCUUGUUUGAUCUCACACACUCACAAAUACAAAAUAUAUGAAUAAAGAAAUAUUUUUAUUUAACUUUUUAAAUGGU